rnacentral:rRNA from 1 species
CCUACGGGUGACAGCAGUGAGGAAUAUUGGUCAAUGGGCUUACGCCUGAACCAGCCAAGUCGCGUGAGGGAAGACUGCCCUAUGGGUUGUAAACCUCUUUUGUCAGGGAGCAACGCCGGCUACGUGUAGCCGGACUGAGAGGACCUGAAGAAAAAGCAUCGGCGAACUCCGUGCCAGCAGCCGCGGUAAUACGGAGGAUGCGAGCGUUAUCCGGAUUUAGUGGGUUUACAGGGUGCGUAGGCGGAAUGCCAAGUCAGCGGUAAAAUCGCGGGGCUCAACCUCGCUCCGCCGUUGAAACUGGCGUUCUUGAGUGUGCGAGACGUAUGCGGAAUGCGUUGUGUAGCGG